AGUAUUAGUUGAAAGAAUUCUCAAAGGCGAAUUGAAACCUGAACAAGUUACAAAGAUGCAGGGCUACGAGCUAAUCAUGGCUGAUUUUGAAGAACCAAAAACAGUGGAAGAUGCUGCUAAUGAUGUCGAGAGGACAUCAAUACAGUGAAUUACUAAUCAUCAAAUGGCAGAGCUCAAGAUUCCAAGCUCAUCAUCAAAGGCUCACUGGACUACAC